rnacentral:rRNA from 1 species
GACGGAAGGUGCAAGCGUUGCUCGGAAUCACUGGGCGUAAAGCGCACGUAGGCGGCUUGUUAAGUCAGGGGUGAAAUCCUGGAGCUCAACUCCAGAACUGCCUUUGAUACUGGCGAGCUUGAGUUCGGGAGAGGUGAGUGGAACUGCGAGUGUAGAGGUGAAAUUCGUAGAUAUUCGCAAGAACACCAGUGGCGAAGGCGGCUCACUGGCCCGAUACUGACGCUGAGGUGCGAAAGCGUGGGGAGCAAACAGG